GGAGGAGACCGGGUCAGUGGCUGAGGUGAGAACCCAGCUCAGAGCCCCAGGGAAGCAGCUCAGCAUGGUGCUAACUCUCCUUCCGCCUGUUCUGGCAGCCCCAUCCUCCCUUCAUCCUGAGCCCCGGAACGCUCAUGCCCUCCCUUCCCUUCUCUCUUACAGCCGCUCUGCAGAGUGUCCCUGAUUACAGGACAAGGCAGUAAUAGCGAGAGCCCAGGGACACCCUGAAGAGGAGUGGUAAAACCGCUCUUGCUGGUGCAGGCCUGCAGAAUCCUUCAUUGUAAUACAAUAAAUUACACCCAAUGUUUUCCUGCCCUUAAUGCACACCCGGAAACGACUAACCGUAUUCCAAACAGAUGCCUCCUCCUUUACAAUAUUGAAUCUAAAGAAAGCUGCCCUUGCCACAGCCAUUCGAGUGGGGCAGCUAUACCAGCAGGGGGACGUGUUAUGCUGUGUUACUAAUAAAGCCAAAAGCCAUUAUUGGCUAGUGUAUGCAAUUGUUGCUGUUUUAAUAAUUUGGUGCAUGCUGUAUUGCUGCUUAUGUAGAAGACCAAUAGUAACCCUGGCCACCGUAUCGGAAAUGUUGCUUCGUGGUCAAGGGGGGGGGGACUGUCACACCCCCAGGGCCCCCUCUCCGUAGGGAGCCCCCCGGGAAGGUAAAUCAGCACGGUAUAUUGCUAACGCCGUGGCAAGCGGAGGGUUAAAGGGGUGUAAGUGGAGAGUGAAAGUUUCCUUUGUAAGUAGGAGAGGCCGAAGGGGGGGGAAACGAAAAGCAAAGAAUGGGGUAAACUCAACACUGCAGCAGGUGAACUCAGCCCAAAAAUAAAACGCUGGCUCCCGCCCAAGGUCACGGCCCACAGCCAAGAAAAAUGAGGGCCCCAUAAAAAAAAAAUUCUCAACUAAACAACCACAAAGCUAUAAAUAACGGCAAAACCAGUAAAGGCCAAAACAAACGAAAAACACCCCAGUCUUCGAAGCCAGAAUGUCUUAGAAACUGGGGAGGCCACAGGCCUGUGCAAACUGGUCAACAAAGCGCCGGAAAAGAGGGCCCAAAACAAAAACACCCCCAAAAACUCCCAAAACUUAAAACCCUCCUAAAAGCUAAAGCAAUUUGGAGAACACAGCAGAUUCUUAAACGCCCUGGGCCCAGGACAGCACGCCUGUCCACCUUCCCCUUCUUUCUUCUGACGUUACACCCAGACCUGGCCAAGUCUGGGCAGUGCGUAUAUAAGUAGAAAAGUGGGUUAGGGCCUGGGGGCAUUAACGCUUUCUUUCUUCCCCUGAGUGCCGUGGGAACGGUCCCAGCACUCUC